GACCAGACUCCUACGGGAGGCAGCAGUGGGGAAUAUUGCACAAUGGGGGAAACCCUGAUGCAGCGACGCCGCGUGAGUGAAGAAGUAUUUCGGUAUGUAAAGCUCUAUCAGCAGGGAAGAAAAUGACGGUACCUGACUAAGAAGCCCCGGCUAACUACGUGCCAGCAGCCGCGGUAAUACGUAGGGGGCAAGCGUUAUCCGGAUUUACUGGGUGUAAAGGGAGCGUAGACGGCAUGGCAAGUCAGAUGUGAAAGCCCGGGGCUCAACCCCGGGACUGCAUUUGAAACUGUCAGGCUGGAGUGCAGGAGAGGUAAGUGGAAUUCCUAGUGUAGCGGUGAAAUGCGUAGAUAUUAGGAGGAACACCAGUGGCGAAGGCGGCUUACUGGACUGCAACUGACGUUGAGGCCCGAAAGCGUGGGGAGCAAACAGGAUUAGAUACCCUGGUA
rnacentral:rRNA from 1 species